rnacentral:lncRNA from 1 species
AUGGAAUAUUACUCAGCAUUAAAAGAGAAUAAAAUUAUGGCAUUUGCAGGUAAAUGGAUGGAGUUGGAGAAUAUUAUGCUAAGUGAAGUAAGCCAAUCCCAAAAAACCAAAUGCCAAAUGUUUUCUCUGAUAUGUGGAUGCUGAUCCAUAAUGGGGAUGGUAGGGAGCAUGGGAGGAAGGGAGGAACUUUAGAUAGGGCAAAGGGGAGGGAGAGGAACAGAGGGGGCAAAGGGAUA